AGCUCUCUGGUGUAGUGGGCAUACCUGCGUUUCAGCUCUACGCGUAGGCUGAAACAGAGGAGGUCGUAAGUUCGAUUCUUACGAGAGCUA